UGAUCAGGUAAGUUUUAGGAAGGAAACUAUGUCAUGAACAAAAGGUGCAGGAGUGAAGGCAGCUAUGGAAUCAAUCCAAGUGUCCACUGAUGGAUGAACAGAUAAAGAAAAUGUCAGCUUUCCAAUCCAUUGUGAUCACUACCAGAGUCUGUCUUUCAGGAAUUGAGACAUCUAAUCACUUUGAGGAAAGAGAAGAAUAUGUGUUCCAACCAUCACAGCAGACUUGUCAGACAUGCGAGAAAAGUAGCCAUCUUGGACUUGGACACCAAUAGCCAAGACUUCAGCCCUGGUCUCCCUCUGACCUGGAGCUGACUGGCUGAGCCCAGCCAACCCUCAAAACCAUAAUGAGUUGUUGUCUAAAGCCACUGAGUUGAGGGGUAGUGUGUCAGGAAGCAAUAGAUACCUGAACUACAGGUAGUGCUAAGAAACAGACCACAGUGGAGCAGGGGGUAAAACCAGUGAGGAAUUGAUUUUAAUAAUCCAGAUGCUCUCAGUGCCUCUUGUUCAGGAAUUCCCAUUGCUCUUCAAAUAAAGUCUAAAGUCCUUAGUAUGGUCUGCAAGG